AUUGAACGCUGGCGGCAUGCUUUACACAUGCAAGUCGAACGGCAGCGCGGGCUUCGGCCUGGCGGCGAGUGGCGAACGGGUGAGUAAUACAUCGGAACGUGCCCAGUAGUGGGGGAUAGCUCGGCGAAAGCCGGAUUAAUACCGCAUACGACCUGAGGGUGAAAGCGGGGGAUCUUCGGACCUCGCGCUAUUGGAGCGGCCGAUGGCAGAUUAGCUAGUUGGUGGGGUAAAGGCCUACCAAGGCGACGAUCUGUAGCUGGUCUGAGAGGAGGACCAGCCACACUGGGACUGAGACACGGCCCAGACUCCUACGGGAGGCAGCAGUGGGGAAUUUUGGACAAUGGGCGAAAGCCUGAUCCAGCAAUGCCGCGUGUGUGAUGAAGGCCUUCGGGUUGUAAAGCACUUUUGGCGGGAACGAAAAGGACUGUGCCAAUACCACGGUUCGAUGACGGUACCCGCAGAAUAAGCACCGGCUAACUACGUG
rnacentral:rRNA from 1 species